rnacentral:rRNA from 1 species
UACGGGGGGGGCAAGCGUUGUUCGGAAUUACUGGGCGUAAAGGGCUCGUAGGCGGCCAACUAAGUCAGACGUGAAAUCCCUCGGCUUAACCGGGGAACUGCGUCUGAUACUGGAUGGCUUGAGUCCGGGAGAGGGAUGCAGAAUUCCAGGUGUAGCGGUGAAAUGCGUAGAUAUCUGGAGGAACACCGGUGGCGAAGGCGGCAUCCUGGACCAACACUGACGCUGAGGAGCGAAAGCCAGGGGAGCAAACGGG